rnacentral:ncRNA from 1 species
GGAGCAGCUUCUGGAGAGACCGUGGAAAUUCCGCGGCGCCGAAGGGUUCACAAUCUCAGGCAAAAGGACAGAAGAGUACUG